UGGGGAAUAUUGGACAAUGGGGGCAACCCUGAUCCAGCCAUGCCGCGUGUGUGAAGAAGGCCUUUUGGUUGUAAAGCACUUUAAGCAGUGAAGAAGACUCCAUGGUUAAUACCCAUGGACGAUGACAUUAGCUGCAGAAUAAGCACCGGCUAACUCUGUGCCAGCAGCCGCGGUAAUACAGAGGGUGCAAGUGUUAAUCGGAAUUACUGGGCGUAAAGCGAGCGUAGGUGGCUUGAUAAGUCAGAUGUGAAAGCCCCGGGCUUAACCUGGGAACGGCAUCUGAUACUGUUAGGCUAGAGUAGGUGAGAGGAAGGUAGAAUUCCAGGUGUAGCGGUGAAAUGCGUAGAGAUCUGGAGGAAUACCGAUGGCGAAGGCAGCCUUCUGGCAUCAUACUGACACUGAGGUUCGAAAGCGUGGGUAGCAAACA
rnacentral:rRNA from 1 species